AGCUUGCAUAUUAUAAGCCACCUAGUGGAUGGCUAGGCUCUGGUAGCGAAGAAGGCCGUGGCAAGCUGCGAAAAGCCCGGGGUAGGUGCAUGUCGACCUUUGAACCCGGGAUUGCCGAAUUAUGCGCCAUGAAUAGUGGCGCACGCAUACGCGGGGAAUUGAAAUAUCUUAGUACCCGCAGGAGAAGAAAGAAAAUCGAUUCCGUAAGUAACGCGAGUGAAACCGGAAGAGGGCAAACUGAAUCCCCCAAGCAAUUGGUGCGGAGAUGUGGUGCGACUUUUAGGCUUGAUGCAUGAUCCGAAGGUUCUGGAAAGAACCGCCAUAGAGAGUGACAGCCUCGUAGGAUAAGUGCGCCAAGUUGUGUCGUGUAUGAGUAGUUCGGCCUUAAUACGUCGAACGAAUACGGGAUCAUUAAAUCCCAACCCUAAAUAUUGACCAGAGACCGAUAGUGAACAAGUAGUGCGAACGAAAGCUGAAAAGCACCCACACGCGUGGGAGCGAAAAGAUCUGAAACUAGGUGGUUACAAGAAGACAAGGCAUGGAAGGGUUGACGCAUAUGGAAGCGAAGUAUCGAAAGGUACAAGCGACAUGUGCUACCAGUGUUUUGUCCUUCUUCUUGAAGCAAGAGCCAGGGAGUGUAUUGGAGUGGCAAGCAGUUUUACUGCGAAGUGAAAGCGAGUGCGCGCACGCAAGGAGGCGCAGGGCACGAAAGUGCCUAAGUCACUACUAUACGACCCGAAGCCAUUGUGAUCUACGCGCGGCCAGGACGAAGGCGAAUUGAUGUUCGCUGGAGGUCCGCAACCUGUCAUGGCAUGUCCUGUUGGGCGAGCUGCGGGUAGGGGCGAUAGACCAUUCGAACAUGGCAAUAGCGGGUCCCCUCUGAAGUAUCUUUAGGAUAGCUCCGGACGAGCUUGCAUAUGCGGUAGAGCGACCGAUUAGAGGGCGCGGAGUCGAAAGGCUCUUCCCUCCCGUCAAACUCCGAAUGCAUAUGCUGCGUAGACUCCGGGAGUCGGCCGCAUUGGGUAAGCUAGUGCGACGAGACCGUAAAGUCGGUGACUAAGGUUAAGGUCCCUAAAUCGUGAUUAAGUGUAUCAAACGAGGAGAUGCUCGUAGACAGUCGGGAGGUAGGCUCAGAAGCAGCCACCCUUUAAAAAACGCGUAAUAGCGUACCGAUUGAGAGUGUCUUCUCCGAAAAUGGACGGGGCUAAAUCAUGUACCGAGACCUUAGAGUUUAAAUGUACUGGUAAGAGGGCGUGCUACACGGCUAGAAGUAGGGUCUUGCGAUCCUAUGGACUGUGUAGUUGAGAAAAUCCUGGUGUUAGUAAUAGCAUAUAAUUGUGAGAAUCAAUUACCCCGGAAGCACAAGGUUUUCCUCGCAAUGAUUGUCAGCGGGGAGUUAGCCGGUCCUAAGUACGCAGCUAAUUACUAGCGUACAAAAGGGUAUCCAGUUAAUAUUCUGGAGCUUGACACGUAGGCGUGGCAACACAAGGUUGAUUUCUGACGCUUGGGGAUAGGGUUGAAAAGAAGUGCAAAUGGCUGUGGAGUCUCAUUAUGAGGAGAAGCAGCUAAAUGAACUAAAAUACCUGAAUUCCUGAGCCCGUGAAAAGGGAAUCAACAACGAUCGUGUCAAUCCGUACCUAGAUCCAGUACAGGUGCUGCUGGCUGAAAAGGCCAAGGGGUGUGGGAAGAACCAAGGUUAGGGAAAUCGGCAAGUUAGUGGCGUAAGUUUUCAAUAAGCCAUGUCUGCACUUAGUAAGAGCAGAUAGCAUUAACUCGGGGACAGCGACUGUUUAUCAAAAACACAACUCGCCGCAAAGCCGUAAGGCUUAGUACAGCGGGUGACGCCUGCUCACCGCUAGU
rnacentral:rRNA from 1 species